GUAGGUAACCUGCCCAUGUGCCCGGGAUAACUUCUGGAAACGGAUGCUAAAACCGGAUAGGUAGCAGACAAGCAUUUGACUGCUAUUAAAGUGGCUGAGGCCAUGAACAUGGAUGGACCUGCGGUGCAUUAGCUAGUUGGUGAGGUAACGGCCCACCAAGGCGACGAUGCAUAGCCGGCCUGAGAGGGCGGACGGCCACAUUGGGACUGAGACACGGCCCAAACUCCUACGGGAGGCAGCAUG
rnacentral:rRNA from 1 species